AAGAUUAAGCCAUGCAUGUCUAAGUAUAAGCAAUCAUACUGUGAAACUGCGAAUGGCUCAUUAAAUCAGUUAUCGUUUAUUUGAUAGUACCUUUACCUGGAUAACCGUGGUAAUUCUAGAGCUAAUACAUGCUAAAAACCUCGACUUCGGAAGGGGUGUAUUUAUUAGAUAAAAAACCAAUGCCCUUCGGGGCUCCUUGGUGAUUCAUAAUAACUUAACGAAUCGCAU
rnacentral:rRNA from 1 species